GAAGACUUUUCACGUGGGAUAGAGCUUCGGCUAGAGCUACGGUUUCCACUCUGAUCGCGGAUGAAGCUCGACAAGAUUUCACGAAGCCGUCGAUAAUUACGCCGCUGAAGUCCUAACACACUCCAGCAAUUGAUCCUUUCGUCGAUCCCUUUGUCCGUGACCCAUCAGCAUUGAAUUUCAAUACCCCUCUCGGUGGCUUAAUCCACUUUGCAGAGCAAAGGCUUCAUCCACCACCGAGGUAGGAUCCAGUUUUCAAGAUCGGAAUAUGAAGGCGUUUCUUGCUUUCCAAAGCGACCAUAAUACUCUAGCCAGUAAUUCUCUCCUCUUUUGGGAUCCUCCCAAAUCGCUUCAAUCCAGGGGCAUAAUAGAAACAAAUGUUCUACUGUUUCUGGCAUCCGGUGACACAAUUGGUAUAUAGGGUCAGGAAUACAGAGUGCAGUAAUAAGGUUUUACCAACCCAGCUCUCAGUAAGCACUAAAAUCAACUGAUUCUCCCUUCAUAUAUGUUAGCAAUCUCAAAUGGGAGUCUGUGAAGUUGCUGGUUGUCGAGGUUGGUCAAGACCCAUCUUUGAAGCAGGAGACCAGUGCCAAUGACCGACUGUGGAGGAUGAGUUUGGGUGGGUUGUGUAUAAACUGGGUGGAAGAGGCUCGGGUGAAAUGGGUUUAGGGCAGAUACAUAUGGGAUGGUUUACGACCGGUGAGGGUAAGUGUAUAUAGCUUGUACUGAGAAAUGCCGCCACCCUGUUCCACUGAUUAGGGUUUGAAACAGGGCCAGCUCUAGAGGAUGCAUUUUGGUUAGGGAAAAUGAGAUUGAAGGGCGUAUGGGAUUUAGGCGAGGAGGAAAAAAGGGAUGGGAUGAGAGUUAGGGUUUAGGGCAUUGAAUGAUCUUGGAGGAACUAUCACCAUGGCGGUAAGGAGAAGCUCCACCAACGGAAA